AAUUUUGGACAAUGGGGGAAACCCUGAUCCUGCCAUCCCGCGUGUUUGAUGAAGGCAUUAGGGUUGUAAAGUACUUUUGGCAUAGAAAAAAAGCUCUGUCCUAACACGAGAUACUGCUGAUGGUAUCUGCAGUAUAAGCACGGCGUAACCACAUGCUUGCAGCCGCGGUAAUACGUAGGGUGCAUACGUUAAUCGGAAUUACUGGGCGUCAAGCGUGUGUAGUCUGUUCGCAAAGAAAGAUGUGAAAUCCCAGGGCACAACCUUGGAACUGCAUUGUUAACUGCCGAGCUAGAGUAUGUCAGAGGGAGGUAGAAUUCCACGUGUAGCAGUGAAAUGCGUAGAUAUGUGGAGGAAUACCGAUGGUGAAGGCAGCCCCCUGGGAUAAUACUGACGCUCAGACACGAAAGCGUGGGGAGCAAACA
rnacentral:rRNA from 1 species